CCUACGGGAGGCUGCAGUGAGGAAUAUUGGUCAAUGGACGAGAGUCUGAACCAGCCAAGUAGCGUGAAGGAUGACUGCUCUAUGGGUUGUAAACUUCUUUUAUAUGGGAAUAAAAUGUUCCACGUGUGGGAUUUUGUAUGUACCAUAUGAAUAAGGAUCGGCUAACUCCGUGCCAGCAGCCGCGGUAAUACGGAGGAUCCGAGCGUUAUCCGGAUUUAUUGGGUUUAUAGGGAGCGUAGGUGGAUUGUUAAGUCAGUUGUGAAAGUUUGCGGCUCAACCGUAAAAUGGCAGUUGAAACUGGCAGUCGUGAGUACAGUAGAGGUGGGCGGAAUUCGUGGUGUAGCGGUGAAAUGCUUAGAUAUCACGAAGAACUCCGAUUGCGAAGGCAGCUCACUGGACUGCAACUGACACUGAGGCUCGAAAGUGUGGGUAUCAAACAGGAUUAGAUACCCUAGUAGUC
rnacentral:rRNA from 1 species